rnacentral:rRNA from 1 species
GAUCAGUGGCUACGAGGACGAACGCUGGCGGCGUGCCUAACACAUGCAAGUCGAGCGAGUGGAUCUCCUUCGGGAGUGAAGCUAGCGGCGGACGGGUGAGUAACACGUGGGCAACCUGCCUCAUAGAGGGGAAUAGCCUUUCGAAAGGAAGAUUAAUACCGCAUAAGAUUGUAGCUUCGCAUGAAGUAGCAAUUAAAGGAGCAAUCCGCUAUGAGAUGGGCCCGCGGCGCAUUAGCUAGUUGGUGAGGUAACGGCUCACCAAGGCGACGAUGCGUAGCCGACCUGAGAGGGUGAUCGGCCACAUUGGGACUGAGACACGGCCCAGACUCCUACGGGAGGCAGCAGUGGGAAUAUUGCACAAUGGGGAAACCCUGAUGCAGCAACGCCGCGUGAGUGAUGACGGCCUUCGGGUUGUAAAGCUCUGUCUUCAGGGACGAUAAUGACGGUACCUGAGGAGGAAGCCACGGCUAACUACGUG